rnacentral:rRNA from 1 species
UGGGGAAUAUUGCAGCAAUGGGCGAAAGCCCUGAUGCAGCAACGCCGCGUGAGUGAUGAAGGCCUUCGGGUUGUAAAGCUCUGUCUUUUGGGGACGAUAAUGACGGUACCAAAGGAGGAAGCCACGGCUAACUACGUGCCAGCAGCCGCGGUAAUACGUAGGUGGCAAGCGUUGUCCGGAUUUACUGGGCGUAAAGGAUGCGUAGGCGGAUUUUUAAGUGAGAUGUGAAAUACCCGGGCUUAACUUGGGUGCUGCAUUUCAAACUGGGAAUCUAGAGUGGCGGGAGAGGAGAAUGGAAUUCCUAGGUGGUAGCGGUGAAAUGCGUAGAGAUUAGGAAGAACACCAGUGGCGAAGGCGAUUCUCUGGACCGUAACUGACGCUGAGGCAUGAAAGCGUGGGGUA